rnacentral:rRNA from 1 species
GCUUAACCGGAGAAGUGCAUCGGAAACUGGGAGACUUGAGUGCAGAAGAGGACAGUGGAACUCCAUGUGUAGCGGUGGAAUGCGUAGAUAUAUGGAAGAACACCAGUGGCGAAGGCGGCUGUCUAGUCUGUAACUGACGCUGAGGCUCGAAAGCAUGGGUAGCGAACAGGAUUAGAUACCCUGGUAGUCCAUGCCGUAAACGAUGAGUGCUAAGUGUUGGAGGGUUUCCGCCCUUCAGUGCUGCAGCUAACGCAUUAAGCACUCCGCCUGGGGAGUACGACCGCAAGGUUGAAACUCAAAGGAAUUGACGGGGGCCCGCACAAGCGGUGGAGCAUGUGGUUUAAUUCGAAGCUACGCGAAGAACCUUACCAGGUCUUGACAUCUUCUGCCAAUCUUAGAGAUAAGACGUUCCCUUCGGGGACAGAAUGACAGGUGGUGCAUGGUUGUCGUCAGCUCGUGUCGUGAGAUGUUGGGUUAAGUCCCGCAACGAGCGCAACCCUUAUUAUCAGUUGCCAGCAUUCAGUUGGGCACUCUGGUGAGACUGCCGGUGACAAACCGGAGGAAGGUGGGGAUGACGUCAGAUCAUCAUGCCCCUUAUGACCUGGGCUACACACGUGCUACAAUGGACGGUACAACG